CAUGCAAGUCGAACGGAGAUAUUUAGAAGCUUGCUUUUGGAUAUCUUAGUGGCGGACGGGCGAGUAACGCGUGAGCAACCUGUCCUUCAGAGGGGGACAACGGCUGGAAACGGCCGCUAAUACCGCAUGACAUAUCCGGAUGGCAUCGUCUGGAUAUCAAAGGAGAAAUCCGCUGAAGGGUGGGCUCGCGUCCGAUUAGCUAGUUGGCAGGGUAACGGCCUACCAAGGCGACGAUCGGUAGCCGAACUGAGAGGUUGAUCGGCCGCAUUGGGACUGAGACACGGCCCAGACUCCUACGGGAGGCAGCAGUGAGGGAUAUUGGGCAAUGGGGGAAACCCUGACCCAGCAACGCCGCGUGAGGGAAGAAGGUCUUCGGAUUGUAAACCUAAGUAGUCAGGGACGAAGAAAUGACGGUACCUGAAGAGUAAGCUCCGGCUAACUACGUGCCAGCAGCCGCGGUAAUACGUAGGGAGCGAGCGUUGUCCGGAUUUACUGGGUGUAAAGGGUGCGUAGGCGGGCUGUCAAGUCAGAUGUGAAAUACCGGGGCUCAACUCCGGGGCUGCAUUUGAAACUGAUGGUCUUGAGUGAAGUAGAGGCAGGCGGAAUUCCUAGUGUAGCGGUGAAAUGCGUAGAUAUUAGGAGGAACACCAGUGGCGAAGGCGGCCUGCUGGGCUUUAACUGACGCUGAGGCACGAAAGCAUGGGGAGCAAACAGGAUUAGAUACCCUGGUAGUCCAUGCUGUAAACGAUGAUAGCUAGGUGUGGGAGGACUGACCCCUACCGUGCCGGAGUAAACACAAUAAGCUAUCCACCUGGGGAGUACGAUCGCAAGAUUGAGACUCAAAGGAAUUGACGGGGG
rnacentral:rRNA from 1 species